AUGGGUAUAAAUAGAUAUGGUCAAUAUUGGUUUUCCUCAUUGCAGGAAGUCACCUUAGGUGUGUGCAUAUCGUAUAUUUUCAGGUGGAAGGGAUGAGCUACAAUACCUCCAAUACUGGUUCUGGUAGUAGAACUCCUAGAAGGACGUUUGAGUUUGGAAGGACCCAUGUGGUCAGGCCCAAAGGGAACCACCAAGCGACUAUAGUUUGGCUACAUGGCCUUGGAGAUAAGGGCUCAAGCUGGUCCCAGCUUUUGGAAACCCUUCCUCUUCCAAAUAUUAAGUGGAUUUGUCCUACUGCUCCUUCUCGUCCUGUAGCAUUAUUUGGUGGAUUUCCUUGCACUGCCUGGUUUGACAUGGGGGACAUUUCAGAAGAUGCUCCUGAUGAUAUGGAGGGGUUAGAUGCCUCAGCAGCGCAUGUUGCAAAUCUUUUGUCAACAGAGCCUGCUGAUAUAAAACUCGGUGUUGGGGGCUUCAGUAUGGGUGCUGCAACUGCCCUCUACUCUGCCACGUGCCGUGUUUUAGGGCAAUAUGGGAAUGGAAAUCCAUACCCAGUUAACCUAAGUGCAAUUGUUGGUCUAAGUGGAUGGCUUCCAUGUUCAAGAACUUUGAGGAACCGGAUGGAAGCGUCGAAUGAGGCUGCAAGGCGUGCAGCAUCCUUGCCCACUUUGCUAUGUCAUGGCUUAGGUAGAAAUAUUCUUCUCAUAAAUGGUACUUAUAGAUUCAAUUUCUUCCUUGGAGGCUCUCUCCAAAAUCUAAUGUUUAGAACAUACAACGGGCUGGGGCACUAUACAAUCCCUGAAGAGACUGAUGACGUUUGUACUUGGCUAACUGCAAGUUUGGGGCUCGAGGGAUCCCGAUCAUACUAAGAUCGGUGAAUGGCGAGGUGACACGGGGAAUACAAAUGAGGAGAUUAUUAUAAAAGACGAUUAGAAGAGGCAUACUAGAAUAGGUUGUGGUAUUGGGUAUAUUAUACAUACGGUAGUGGCAUUUCUUAUAGCUUCUAUUGCCGUAUAAUCUCCCUUCUCCUUUCUGUUGCUUUCUUUUUCUUCAAAUAAUGUCCUAGCUGAGGCUCACUCGUGUACUUGGGCGCUGGUUGCUAUGAGAUUUGUAUGGGCGCUCUCGGUUCGGGUGGGGUAUGGGAGCUAGAUAGAGUCUCUUUCUCCGCAUCCACCAAAUUUUGUUGUUUUGAUAAUAAAUUAAUUGAAUAUAUUUCUCCGUGCA